CCGCGCCCGCCCUCACGCCGCUCCCGGAAUAGACCCGGAGCACGCCUCGCUCCCUGGGCGGGGGGCCGGCCGGUGUCCCGGGUCCCGCACACACCCACGCCACGCCCUGCCUCGCGCACGCCCCCGCGCCCCUCCCGCGGUGGGCCGGGGACCCACUGCCAGGUUCACGAGCUCUCUCUCCGGAGCGGCCCACCCCUGCCCGGCCCGCGCGGUCUUGCGCUCUGCUAGAGCUGGGCUGCGGAUGGGGGGGCUUACUGUCGCACCUUCCAUCCCAUUCCAUCCGCAGACUGCCCAGACUGUUAGAACUUGUCCCCCGUCCCUCCACCCCCAGGGGAAUCAAAACCUCUCCUUGCAGCUGCCCCUCAUUUCCUGACUCUGGGUUUAUGGUCUCUACUCGACAGGUCUUGCUUGAGCACUUUCUAGUGCUGAUAGUGGACAGGGCGCUAGGCGGGUGCAGCGUCAAUAAUGGUGUGAGAGAAGAGCGGAAUAAUAAAGAUCUGCAAAAAGGAAGAUCGCCAAAGACAAGGACAGAGACGAUUAAAAGCUACCUUUGUGGAACCUCGAGGCAGAGUAUGGCUUCACGAAGACUUCCAGGGAGUCUUCCAGCUGGGUGCGUCCACCCCGACAGCCCAAGGUGGUCUGUCCCAGUCUGUGGCAGAGGAGGUCACGCUGCUGAAGGCCUGCCAGUCCUUAGAGGGACAGAGUGCGUUGAUGCUGACAUGACACGAUGGGUGCCAAGUCUUCAGUGGAGAGCUCGGCACACUGUCAGUACUUAGUAGCAAACUGCUGUUAUUCUGAAGGAGAAACUGAGGCCAAGAGAGAGCUGCUCCCUAGACUUUUUUAUUCUGGAAAAUGUGCAUGGUUCAGCCUCUUCCCAUAUCACGCAUUUCCACUCAUACCAGAAAC